UGCUGGGGUUGGGCAUGGGUUAAGCCCUCCGAACUUAAGAUUCGGCGUUUCGCGACUUACGGGUUCAAUUCCCGUCCCCAGCGA
rnacentral:tRNA from 1 species